UACGUAGGGGGCAAGCGUUGUUCGGAAUCACUGGGCGUAAAGGGAGCGUAGGCGGAACCGUAAGUUAGAAGUUUAAUUCCCGGGCUUAACCCGGGGCUGGCUUUUAAUACUGCGGUCCUUGAGUAUGGAAGAGGGAGAUGGAAUUCCAGGUGUAGCGGUGGAAUGCGUAGAUAUCUGGAAGAACACCAGUAGCGAAGGCGGUCUCCUGGUCCUAUACUGACGCUGAGGCUCGAAAGUUAGGGGAG
rnacentral:rRNA from 1 species